GAAAAAUUUGGUUAUGGUUUAAAAAUGGUCACAAUGUAAAUAUAUUUUAAGGUAGAGAAAUCGUGGAAAAAUUUAAAUCUUUGCCCCAGGUGGAAGAGUUUUUCACAAGGUUAGAGGUCUGUGCGAUCAAUGAAAGUUGGACAAGGUUGUUCAAAGAAAAACGUUGCGAAAUGAGGUGCCAGCAGCCGCGGUUAUUCCUCUUACUGGAAACCAUUAUAUUUCGGCUGUGUGAGUAGUAAAACCUGUUUUAUUUUACUUUUAGCUCUAGGGUGAAAUCAGGGCUUUUUUGUUUCCUUGUAUAAAAUAUUUUUUCUCACGAAGUCUGGGUUAAAAAGGACCGGGAUUAGAUACCCCGUUACUCCAGAUGUCAAUUAAUAGCUGGGGACUACGAACUUUUGUUUAAAACCCUAAGAACUUGGCGGCGUGGUAUUAGUCCAGACAGGGGAACUUGACGCUUAAUUCGAUGAUCCGCGUUUAAUCUCAUCUUUUCUCGUAAGAUCAGGGGUAUAUCGCUGUUGAGGGGGCGGAGAGAUCAGAUAAAGGCCUCCGAUAAAAGGGGUUUUCCACUAAAUUCAGGUAAGACGCCCCCAAUGAAAAGAGGUUAGUUGAGUUACAAAAUUUUGGAUAGAUCUGGUAGUUAAGGUUUUGAAAUAGGACUUGUUAGUAAAUAAAAAUUAAAACGUUUUGUUGAAUAGGGAAAUGCUUCGCGUACAAAUCGCCCGUCGCUCUCUUGGAAACCGGAGAUAAGUCGUAACAUGGUAGGGGUAGGGGAACCUGUUCCUGGUUUAGAGUUGUAGAAAGU
rnacentral:ncRNA from 1 species